UUCUUUUCUCUUUACCUUUCUUCUCUUGUCAUUAUUUCGUUUUUUUGUAUGCUUUUUCUGUUUUCAUCUAUUAGUUUUUUUCUUUUCUUUUUUUUCUUUUUUUAUCUUUUCUCUUUUCUCUUUUUUUUCAUUUUCUUUCUUUCUUUCUCUUUUGUCUUUUUUGUUCAUUUCUUUUUGUCUUUUAUCUUUUUUCUCUUUUUCAUUCAUUUUUUCUUUUUUUCUUUUCAUUUUUUCUCUUUUUCUUAUUUUCUUUUUCUUUUUCUCUUUUUUCAUAUUUUUUGUUCUUAUUUUUUUCUUUUCUUUUCUUUUUUCAUCAUAGGUUUGCCUUCAGCCCUCCCCUCAAGCCCUUCCCUCCGCUCUGCUCUUCACCCAUCCCCUCCCUCCCCAUCCCCCUUUCUCCCUUACCCUCCCCUUUCCCUUGCCUUUGCCUCCCAGUACCUUGCCUGCCUUCACUUACCUUCUCCUCACUUCCUGCUCCUUUGAUGCUAUGGCUUUUGCUGCUACUCACGCCAAACCCCAAACACUUGCCUACUCUGCGUGCUGCUCUGCCAAGUUGCUCUCUACUCUGCUCACAGCUUCACGCCUACUGCCUGCCCUUCUCUGUCCCCUUCUCGGUGCCCUUCACGCUUUUCCUCCCCUUGCUGAGCAAGGCCAUGCCCGGUAGCUACCCUUGAACCUCCUCCGCCCUUUGCUUCCUCCACAGAGAUGCUUGCUUCUGGCCAGCACUCCUGCCCGGUGCCUAGCCCACACACCUCAUCUCUUGGGGAGAUAGCAAGCUGGCCUGUAGCUACCCACACCUCCUCCCGGGCAUGGCUUCUCAGCUUUGCUUCAAGCCCAGAACCCAAAGGAGCUCCUCUUACCUUUUGGCCCACAUUCUUCUCCUCCCGCGCAGCUCCUGUGGCAAGCAGGGGCACAGCUCUGGCCAGAGUCCUCCAUUCCCUGCAAGGUUGCUUUUGUCAUUCUUUGCCUUCUGUUGCUGUGCUCUCUUUUGCUGUGCUAUGCCUAGCUUUCCUACUUGCUUGCUCUGUAUUUACAUGCAUGCUUUUGACUUGUUAUUCUCCUUUGUCCUCUGUUUCAUUAGUUUCCCUUCAACCCUCCCCCUUCCCUCACCCUACCUCCAAUUUUUUCCUUCCUACCCUCUCUCCUCUCCCCCCCCAGCCACCCACACCCCACUUACUCACCCCCCUCACCUCUGCCCCUCUCCACCCCUCCUCCCUCCCCCCUCUCGCCCCCCUCACCCCCCUCUAGCCCCACUGCUCCUCCCCCUCUCCCCCCUCUCCUUCACUUCCCCUCCCCUCCCCUCUCUUUUGCCCCCAUCCACUACCAUUCCCCCUUGCUUUAAGGGAAACUUACCUUUCCUGCUCUUCACUGACUUCUUGAUUCUCGUGGCUUUGGCUGCUAUUUUGCCUUGCUUUCCUUUGCUCUGCUAUGCAUGGCUUUCUCUGUAUUUCUUGCCAUCCACUCCUUCCUUUGAGUUAUUCUUUACUUUUUCACUUGGCUUUUUUCUUCUUUUCUCUUUACCUUCUUCUCUUGUCAUUAAUCGUUUUUUGUAUGCUUUUUCUGUUUUCAUCUAUUAGUUUUUUCUUUUCUUUUUUCCUUUUUUCUUUUUUUCAUAUUUUUCUCUUUUCUCUUUUUUAUUUCUAUUUUCUCUUUUUUCUUUUCUUUUCUUUUUUUCGUUUCUUUUUUUUUUUUUCUCUUUUUUCUUUUUUGUUCAUUUUCUUUUUCUUUCUCUUUUUUCUUUUUUUCAUUUCUUUUUUUCUUUUUCUUUUUUCAUCUUUUUUUCUUUUUUCUUUUUUUUUUUUUUUCUCUUUUUCUUAUUUUUCUUUUUCUUUUUUCUCUUUUUUCAUAUUUUUUGUUCUUAUUUUUUCUUUUCUUUUCUUUUUUCAUCAAGGUUUGCCUUCAGCCCUCCCCUCAGCCCUUCCCUCCGCUCUGCUCUUCACCCAUCCCCUCCCCUCCCCAUCCCCUCUUUUCUCCCUUACCCUCCCCUUUCCCCUUGCCUUUGCCCCCCAGUACCUUGCCUGCCCUUCACUUACCUUCUCCUCACUUCCUGCUCCUUGAUGCUAUGGGCUUUUGCUGCUACUCACGCCAAACCCCAACACUUGCCUACUCUGCGUGCUGCUCUGCCAAGUUGCUCUCUACUCUGCUCACAGCUUCACGCCUACUGCCUGCCCUUCUCUGUCCCCUUCUCGUGCCCUUCACGCUUUUCCUCCCCUUGCUGAGCAAGGCCAUGCCCGGUAGCUACCCUUGAACCUCCUCCGCCCUUUGCCUUCCUCCACAGAGAUGCUUGCUUCUGGCCAGCACUCCUGCCCGGUGCCUAGCCCACACACCUCAUCUCUUGGGGAGAUAGCAAGGUGGCCUGUAGCUACCCACACCUCCUCCCGGGCAUGGCUUCUCAGCUUUGCUUCAAGCCCAGAACCCAAAGGAGCUCCUCUUACCUUUUGGCCCACAUUCUUCUCCUCCCGCGCAGCUCCUGUGGCAAGCAGGGGCACAGCUCUGGCCAGAGUCCUCCAUUCCUGCAAGGUUGCUUUUUGUCAUUCUUUGCCUUCUGUUGCUGUGCUCUCUUUUGCUGUGCUAUGCCUAGCUUUCCUACUUGCUUGCUCUGUAUUUACAUGCAUUGCUUUUGACUUGUUAUUCUCCUUUGUCCUCUGUUUCAUUAGUUUCCCUUCAACCCUCCCCCUUCCCUCACCCUACCCAAUUUUUCCUUCCUACCCUCUCUCCUCUCCCCCCCAGCCACCCACA
rnacentral:lncRNA from 7 species